rnacentral:rRNA from 1 species
UAACGGCCCACCAAGGCGACGAUCCAUAGCCGGCCUGAGAGGGUGAACGGCCACAUUGGGACUGAGACACGGCCCAAACUCCUACGGGAGGCAGCAGUGGGGAAUAUUGCACAAUGGGGGAAACCCUGAUGCAGCGACGCCGCGUGAAGGAAGAAGUAUUUCGGUAUGUAAACUUCUAUCAGCAGGGAAGAAGAUGACGGUACCUGACUAAGAAGCCCCGGCUAACUAC